CCCUUAGAUGUUCUGGGCCGCACGCGCGCUACACUGAUGCAUUCAACGAGUUUUACCUUGGCCGAGAGGCCUGGGCAAUCUUUUAAACCUGCAUCGUGAUAGGGAUAGAUUAUUGCAAAUAUUAAUCUUGAACGAGGAAUUCCUAGUAAGCGCAAGUCAACAGCUUGCGUUGAUUACGUCCCUGCCCUUUGUACACACCGCCCGUCGCUACUACUGAUUGGAUGUUUAAGCGAGGUUCUCGAACUGCUAGCGACUUAGCUUCGGUGAGGUCGCAGUGUGGGAAGUGAACCUAGCUUUGGUGUCUAGAGGAAGUAAAAGUCGUAACA
rnacentral:rRNA from 1 species